rnacentral:lncRNA from 1 species
AAAGUGCUUUGGUAGCUAGCGAGGGCUUUGAGACGGCCGAGAGUUUGAGCGCCAAGGCUCUCUCUCCCCAGGGGACUCUGCAACCUGACUAGGUGCUCCUUCCCUGAGCAUAGUAACAUUCCAGGGAGCUGCCCGGGGAAGCUUAACGCUCGAUGCGGGUGGUAGGAAUGUAUCAUGGUGGGAGAGUCAUGGCAGCAGGCAGCUGGAACAGGACACUAAGUAAGAACACCUUCAACUACAAGCAGAAGUCAAGGAGAACUGAAAGUGGUGAGUCUAUGAUGUCUGAAGACCCACUCGGAAUAAUGUCCUUCCUCAGCAAGGCUAUACCACCAUCCCAAACAGUGUUCAAAUGCCCAGCCAAACAUCACAGUGGAGGUGGGAUAAGAAUAUCCAGAAGUAGUUUUCUUUUCUUGGAAAAAGUGCAGCAGUAUAUACCUGUCUCAAUUCUGGAGAAGUGUAGGGAUUCCCAGGUGCUAGGCAUUGUGGGAACCCUUUUCUGUCCCUGAGUGACAGAGGGACAAUAUCCAUGUGGGUGCUUUAUUCCCAUGUUGGCAGCUAAUGGAGCUGUGAGAGUUCCUCUUUCAAACUUUGUCCAGACUACCAUACCAGCCAAGAUUCUUCUGAUCCUCUCACCGCCCACAUGCUAACUCCUGCCAGGAAACAGCCAAGAAACCUAUAAAGGCUGUCCAGGGAUCAUGAGGACUUCCUACCAGCUAAGCCACAGCCUUGUCCUCAGGUUACAGCCUCUGUGGGUGGCAGUAGGGGUGGCUUUUUGUUUUGUUUUGUUUUCUGCAGGGUCCCUGAAGUCAGCUCUGGAAAACUGAGAAGAGUGCUGCGUGCAGAAUGCUUCGCUGGAUGUUUUUUUCCUCUAUUCUCACAGACAACUGGAACCUUGAGAGCCAAGGGAGAUUGUGGAGAGGAUGUGAGCAGAUGGCCGCUGAGGAUAGCUGACCGGGUGGGUGGGCUGGAACCUAGGCCAGGACCUGCCACCUGAGGAUUGUGCCUGCGAUGUCCAUAUGAUUGUGAACAGCUAAACAGGGAGCUCUGCUCUGUUGAAAAUCAUAAAGUUGAAAAUGAAAAGAGAUAAAACCUUAAGCACAGAAGAAUAUUUUGUCUUUGGUGAAAAGAACAACUUAAGAUUAAUUUUAUUUUUAUGCUGUAUAUGCGUGUGGGUAUGUGCAUGCAAAUUUGGGUGACUCCAAAGGUCAGAGCAUCAAAUCACUUGGAGCUGGGAUUAUAGGCAAAUGAAAGCUGCCAAGCAUAGGAAUCUAACGAAUGUCCUCUGUAUGAGCAGAGAGUACUCCUUACUGCAGAGCCAUGUUUCCAGCUUAAGGAGGGCUUUUAGAAAGAAGAUUGAUAGAGAAUACAUACUUAAUAGUUUGAUGUACUAAAAAGGUUAAUUUUUAUUCACUAUAGACACUAGAAAUAAUAUUUACAAUUUAUAUAAUGCAUGUGAUUAUAGAACUAGAAGUAACAAUAUUAAAUAUAAAUAAAUUAUUGUAAGUCAGAUAAGAGAGAUGGAAACCCCAGUAGGAAAAACCCAUUAAAGUAACUAAAAUGUGGACAAAUGAAGGUGUAUCGUUUAUUUUUACAAUUGUAAUGUUAUAUAAUUAGUAAGCACAGUUUUAUAUAAGAAAGGUGUUUAUUUGCACUAGGAAAAUGUAAAACACAAAGCAGAAGACCAUAUCGAACUAGCACUAAUUUAAGAUUUAGUAACAAGAGCUACCAGGGAGGUGAAGAUAUGAUACCCUUAUAUUCUGGCAGCCUGACAGAAGCUUCUUAAGUUACAACAUCCCCAAGCCAUUUUCCAAAGCCAACUCUCAUCAUAGAACCCUUGAGCUAGCAAAAUACACUGAUUUUAAUAUUGUUUAUGGUUUUGGAAGCAUGGAAACAAACUGUCUUUGUUACAGAACAUGAUCUAAUACCUAUCAUGAUUUACUUUUAAGAACAAAGAUAUAUUAAUGUAUAACACAAUGUAUGUAUAAUUACAUAUGUGUAAUGUAUAUCACAAAGAACAACAUCAUUAUGUUGUUGUUCUUUUUCCUCCUCCUCCUCUUUCUCCUCCUCUUCCUCUUGCCUUUCUUUUUAAAACUGUUUUGGUUUUUUUAAUAUUUAUUUAUUUUUUCAUGUUA